rnacentral:lncRNA from 1 species
GUUUUUCUCUUUUGGGGGCGAGACAGGGAGGAAGUCAAUGGUGGGGGUGGCGGUCGACGAUUUCCACCAGAAAUUUGAGUGGUGGGCUCGGCGGCUUCCGGGAAGCCUCCAGUGUUGGGUUUCAGUUUGAUACACUCCAUUGAAUUUUACCCUCUUCUCGCAGAUCUAGGGCUUCACAAAUUUCAUUCACUUCACUAAUUUCUGAAAUUCCUGUUUCUCGUUCCCUAAUUUCAUUUCACUUGUCUUACACAGAUGAUUCUGGUACUUGUUUGAAUCCUCAAACAUUUAGAAAUUCCCAAAUGUUUUAUCAAUGAUUCUCUUCUCUUUAUUCACACGUAAGCAGCCAAAUUAUGAUUUAGCGUUCUUGAUUUUGUGUUGUGCACAGAUCCUAAAUGCAGAAUUUUGCAAUGUGAGCUUCUGUACAGGAGAACUGAGACUUACAGAUCCUAAAUGCCGAACUACUUUUGUCUGAAAAAAAGCAAACAUUAAUUAAAUAUAUUAAGAAAUUCAAAUUAAAAAAUAAUCAGAUUAUUAAAAAAUAAAUUUGACCUCAAAAUUGUUUGAAAAUGGUCUGAACUUGCCUAAUCCUUCUCUAUGGAAGAGAUCAUGUGAAAGCAUACAUAAUUAACCUAUUCCUGUUCGAGAUAGGCUGUUGUCUUAUUUGUUCAUGUAUAUGUUUAUCCAAAUGCGUAUUGUUUGGUUUGUAAAAAGUUUCAUUGGUGAAGGUAGUAUUACUUUUUUGUUGUCAUCAUCAGAUAGGCUCUGCUUCGUUAGGUACAGUCACAAUGAUAAUCUGCAGCUUCUGGAACGGUUAUCAAGUUUUCUGGACAUACAUAUAUGUAAAUGCUUCCACAGAUGCUAAUAUUGUGUCGUGAUUUUAGUGUAAUUUUGCACCAUGGUGAAGAAGAUAUAUAUCUACUCAACCGAGGAAGCGAAGAGGCUGUCGACCCAAGAAUAAAGCUUACCCAUGGACAGAGGUACAAAUCUGGGAAGGUCCUGUCUGAUGCAGCUGUUGGCACUGAAGAACAGUCUUCAACCGUUGGAUCUGGUUACUGACGGAGUUUUGCUAGCAAUAAGGUUGAAAGUGCUCCGGAUAAUGGAGAUGAAACCAACAGUUGACCAGCAAUUUUGUUCCAUGCCGGUGAGGCAAAAGUGGUGGUUUUUCGUUCACGUAAUAAUAAUUUUCUCCGGGAGAGUGGUGCUACUACGAUAAGAAUCCGUUAUAGUAUUGUUUGUUUUUGUCAGGAGAAUCUCAUGAUGUUUUGAUUGUUUGGAUCUGAGUUAGGUCUCUGUGUGUACAACAAGUUGUUUAUGUAUAUAUGAUACCUCUUUGUUUCCCCUUGAAAUCUUCUGUUUUGUUUAAUCUUCUUUCUCUACUGUUUGUGAUGACAACUCUCACUGUUGCCCUCUGUACUGAACCCAAAACUUUUCAUUUUGAACUAAUGCAAGGUUGGGUGGUAUAAUGAAAGCCGAACCGGCCCAAGAAAACCCCCACUUUAUUCAACUGCAACGUGUCUUCAUCCUAACAGCAAUGUGCAAUACAUAGUGUGCACGUUAGACAUUUCCCGAAUCUAUACGGCAUAUAAAAGAGAAUUUUAACGGUUAUUCUUUUUCGCCAUUUUUCUCUCUUUUUCUACCAACUCCCCCCCCUGUUUGAUAUUUUCUAAAUAUUGUUCAAUUUUAUUCGCGAAAAAUAUAUUCAACAAUCAUAUUAAAUUAAAAAAAUCAUGUCGAGAUUAAUAUGGUAUGAAUAUCAUUACAAAUAAUUUUUAAACAAAUAAGUUAUGAAAAAUUUAAAAUAUUUUACUUUCUCUCUUUAUUAAAAUUUUAAAACAUUUUAUUUUAUCUCUCAUACCUCUUAAUAUUGAACAUAUGUAUUUUUUUUCUUCUUCUUUAAUAUAAAUUUUAUUUCAAUUUCUAUUUUUGUUAGAUAUCAAUUUUUGAAUUUAUUUUAUAUAUUGUAUGCAUAUAUAUAUAUAUCUAUAUAGAGGAGAGAUCAAAUGAAAACAUUCAUUUAUGUGUUAACUAGGAACCAAUCUGAGCCCUUCANAGCCAUCAGACCGUAAUCCAUCUGAUGUCCUCAGUCAGUUGUGAUCCUGAUAAGUCAUGCCUUAGAUCCCCUCAUGAUGCACACAGCAGGCAACUCCGCAGCUGCACAAGGUAAUUAUUACUUGUACUGCCUUAUUUCAAUGUCACUAGAUGAUAUAAACAGUAAAAUUGAACUAAAUCACCAAUAUCAGUUGAAUUUCUAUUUUCUAAACCAGCUUUAUGGAGGUCUGGGCCUGGGCCGAUUGGGCCGCCGGGCAGGUUUUCAUAUAUUUUCUGAAUUCCUCUGGGAUCCUUAUUGAAUAUUCUCUCUACUGAAAAUAGAAUUGAUAGAGCGGCGGCGGGGUUGAAGGUUUAUGUGCACCGCCGGUUUCGGGCUGAGAAGAAUUAAUUUUAAUGUUCUGAAUUUUAGUUUUGAUUGCCGUUCUUUUAUUAUUCUUACGUAUCUUAUUAUUGUUCUUAUGUUUUAGUUGUGGGCUUAUGCUUUUGCAUGGGCCUGGAUAGGAGUAGGUUAUUAAUAUGUGUUCUACGCUAGAUUAGGGUUAGUCUCUUUUCUGUGUGAAUUUUACAGCCUAGCUGUAGCAGAGUAUCUCGCUCUGUGACCCACGUUUGGGUGUUCUCCUUCAGUUAAUUCCAGUAUUUUAUCUUCCUAACAUCUUAACUCUAUCAGCACGUCUUGGAUUUCUUUCUGAUUAUGCUUUUCUGCUCCUUUUGCUUAGCUAUGGUUACCAGGAGUAAGAUUUCAUUGUUUUAGAUAUGGUAUUGUAGUAAUUACUGUCUAGAAUGCUUCAGCUGUUGUUAGACAAGAACUUAUGAUUAACAAAUGCUUGCAUAGUAGAUCUGCUUUAAGAAAUGUUUAUGAUUAUAUUUUGAAGCGUAGACUGGGCUUUCUUUUCUUAAAUUAGAAAUGUCAGUUUUCUCUCUUUGGAAGACCCUCUACUGGAUUUAUGAAUGAUGUAUGAGAAUGAAUCUCUUAGGUUCACAUGCAAGGAAUUGCUGUUGGCAGAGCAGUAGACCUGACCAGGUUUGAUUGCUAUGAGGAUCUGCUCAAAAAAUUGGAAGGGAUGUUUGAAAUUACAGGGGAACUCUCUGAGUCAACAAAGAAAUGGCAAGUUGUCUACACAGAUGAUGAGGAUGACAUGAUGAUGGUUGGAGAUGAUCCAUGGCAGUUGAGUCAAAUUUACUUAAUUCUUUCACCUUUCUUUUUAUGUAUUGUUUACUAAGGUUGAGUUUACGUUUGUUGUAAAUUUAUCACAAGAAAAUGAGGGAUAAUUUUUUUUUUCUCCCUUUAAAUCCCUCCUCUCUUAUUUAUCGUCUUCUAUAAAAAGAAUUUAACACUUUCUUAUUCCUACAUUUCAUCCAAGGAGGAAUAAUAUUAUCAUGAGGUAUUGGUGUGAAUAAUAUUAUCCCUCCUUGAAAUGAAAAAGAAAGAGGAAUAAGAAAGGGUGAACUUCUUAUAGAAAAUGAGGGAUAAGAAAGGAGGGAUUUAAAGGGAGAUUUUUUUNAUCCUUCAUUUUCUUGUGAUAAAUUUACAACCAAAGUGAACGCACCCUAAAUCUCUUAUGGCUCUUUAUGUCUAGAUUUACUUAUAAGUUGUCUUAUGACCUCUUUUUUUAAUACUCCUUGUGUCCCAACGAAGGUGAGGCGUAUUCCUUUUCGGGCCGUUCCAACGAAGAUGAGCCGUUUCCUUUUUUGACAAAAAUUAGGCAAUUUAAAUCCCUAAUUAAGAAAACUAAUUGCACCGGUUAUUCUUUGUUAAUCUACUCUCUUCUCAAUUCUCACCGCCUCUCGUCAUUCUCUCGACUUUCUCUUCCCUCCGCCUCCUUUGUUUUUUAUUUCCGGCCUUCUAAUUCUUCUUCUCAAUUAGUUCUGACUCCUCCUCCUUGCUGACCAUUGCCUUUUGCAUCUUGUUCGAUCUGGUAUAUCGAGGCCGCUGCCGGUCACCGGAAAAGGCAAGGUAGAGCUGAGGGAUUUUGGGGUUUUUCUCUUUUGGGGGCGAGACAGGGAGGAAGUCAAUGGUGGGGGUGGCGGUCGACGAUUUCCACCGGAAAUUUGAGUGGUGGGCUCGGCGGCUUCCGGGAAGCCUCCAGUGUUGGGUUUCAGUUUGAUACACUCCAUUGAAUUUUACCAUCUUCUCGCAGAUCUAGGGCUUCACAAAUUUCAUUCACUUCACUAAUUUCUGAAAUUCCUGUUUCUCGUUCCCUAAUUUCAUUUCACUUGUCUUACACAGAUGAUUCUGGUACUUGUUUGAAUCCUCAAACAUUUAGAAAUUCCCAAAUGUUUUAUCAAUGAUUCUCUUCUCUUUAUUCACACGUAAGCAGCCAAAUUAUGAUUUUCCUAAAUGCAGAAUUUUGCAAUGUGAGCUUCUGUACAGGAGAACUGAGACUUACAGAUCCUAAAUGCCGAACUACUUUUGUCUGAAAAAAAAGCAAACAUUAAUUAAAUAUAUUAAGAAAUUCAAAUUAAAAAAUAAUCAGAUUAUUAAAAAAUAAAUUUGAACUCAAAAUUGUUUGAAAAUGGUCUGAACUUGCCUAAUCCUUCUCUAUGGAAGAGAUCAUGUGAAAGCAUACAUAAUUAACCUAUUCCUGUUCGAGAUAGGCUGUUGUCUUAUUUGUUCAUGUAUAUGUUUAUCCAAAUGCCUAUUGUUUGGUUUGUAAAAAGUUUACAUUGGUGAAGGU